CCUACGGGUGGCAGCAGUGAGGAAUAUUGGUCAAUGGACGCCAGUCUGAACCAGCCAUGCCGCGUGCAGGAAGACGGCUCUAUGAGUUGUAAACUGCUUUUGUACGAGGGUAAACGCAGAUACGCGUAUCUGUCUGAAAGUAUCGUACGAAUAAGGAUCGGCUAACUCCGUGCCAGCAGCCGCGGUAAUACGGAGGAUUCAAGCGUUAUCCGGAUUUAUUGGGUUUAAAGGGUGCGUAGGCGGGCGGAUAAGUUAGAGGUGAAAUCCCGGGGCUCAACGUAGGGAUUGCAUUUGAUACUGGUCGGCUUGAGAGUAGGUGAGGUAGGCGGAAUGUAUGGUGUAGCGGUGAAAUGCUUAGAGAUCAGACAGAACACCGAUUGCGAAGGCAGCUUACCAAGCUACUUCUGACGUUGAGGCACGAAAGCGUGGGGAGCAAACAGGAUUAGAUACCCGAGUAGUC
rnacentral:rRNA from 1 species